UGUGACUCUCUGCCUACAGAAAAAGUCUCAGCUCUCCACGCUCCAGUAGUAAUUCAAUGCUUGCAAAGGAAAAACAAAACAAACCACCAUGCUGUAAGACCACGUAGAGUGUCUAAGUUAAACAAAAAAAAAAAAAAAAAAGACUGGUCUCAUCAUCUAGAAUUGUAAGAAAACUCCCAAACUGAGAUCUGUUUGUUCAACUAAGUAUUUGUUCCAAGGGACUGCACUGCUGGACAAGCAGUAAAAUUGUUAAAAAUACUGAAACAGCUGUUGGAAGCUCUAUUUCAGCAAGCAGUAAAUGUGAGGGAGGGAGAAACAAGAAAGGAAAAGGUGGAGCAACAAGCAAGGCAGAGCAGUACUUCAUAGCUCCAGCCAUCUUAGUAGGGAGAGGGAGCUAAAUAAUCAAUUGAUUUACAUAGAGCAGCUGUUAAACAUGAAGAUAUUGCAUAAAAAAUCUCGUUACCAUUAUUAACUGGUACAAUUAAUAUUUGUCUUUUGAUUCAAGAUGCAAGGUCAAAAUGGAAAAGCUAAUUAAAAAUGAAGAUGCAGCUCACAUACCAACUGAAGUAAUUGUUUGUUUGUACAGCACAACACCCAUAUCUCCAAUUUAGGUCAGGCCAUCAAGAAGAGGAAAAGGGACUGAAGAUGAGAUGCUCUACUUCACACAGUUGCCCUCUGGAAGGGCUGGCAAAGGCAGUCACUUAAAUUAAGCACAGGUCAUCAGACAGGAUAUCUAAUCUAUUCCUUAAACAGGCAGCUCUCGCAGUCCAAAUCCCUAUGGCCUUUACAGCAACACAACCAACUACUUCCUCAUGUACCUCUGUCAAUUCACGUUAGGUUCCUAUUUUUUUUUAAAGCGAUAUUUCAUGUACGCCAUGACCCUAUUGCUCACAGCAAGGAAAGUGCUUUGGUUUAUUUAUGACCUACUAACCUUAAAUAAAAAAACCAUGCAUCCAAUCUGAAUGUUCACAUAAGCCUGCAGAUCUGAAAUAAAACUUAAAAUAAAGCUGGCAUUUGUAAUAGCUAGCUAAGCCCAGUAAGGGAUUUAGAAAAAAAUUAAAAUUAAAACCAGAUGAGAGAAGAUGAAAGCAUUUUUACCCUGCAUAACCUGCACACAUCAUGAAUGAUGGCUGGAGCUCAGGAAUACUUUUUUGUGUUUUUGUACUUACAAGUUUCAGCCCACUUCAACAGCGGCUAGGUAACCAAGGAAAUACUGAGGUUUUCCCAUUACAGGGUUGGGAGGGAAUAAUAACAACCCAUGAAAGCAAUUCCUUUUAAGAUGCAAUCCAUCCAGCCACGAGCUCUACACAGCUCCUCUCUUUUCUUUACACCCCAUCCUAACUGCCAGAUAUCAGUCUGGCCAGACCUCAUAUUGAAAUAUGAUGUGACAGAAGAAAGCAGGGAACAAGACCAUAGGAAUAAAUACUGAAAGAAAUGGCAUAAAGAAAGAAAGUUUAUAGCAGGGAAUAUGUGAAACACAAGUGACCGUACAUAUAUAUUUUGCUAGAACAACAUUGAACAGACACAGAUGUGCAAAAGACUAUUCAGUUGAAGAGUUUACAAAGAACUGUCAUGAAGAACUCCCUUCCUCUCUACAUCCAUGGGGUUGAAUUGUGAUAUGGACAGUACAAAUAAAUGGAAAAAAAAGCUUCAGACCUAAAGUAUCAACGCCAAACAUCUUUUGCUGAAUCAGCACCAAAAAAAGGAGGAAAGGGCAUUUCUGCCACAGUUGGUUGGAACUAGAACUCACAGAUACUCAUGAUCACAGUGGAAUUCCUAAAUAAAUAAAAAAAAUCUACAGAAAGGAGAAAUUCUUUACAUUCCGUUCUUCUGUAGUUCUCCAGUAGGAUAUAUUAAUGCCUCUGUUCUUUAGAUGCUUUAGAUGUAUUUGAUAGAAAUACAGUUAUCUGUACAGGAAGAGCAAUUUGUUGAAAGAAACAGAUGCAACCAAGUUCUUGUCACAGCAAUUGUUUAAAAAAAGAAAAUAUAUGCAGGCAGCAUAUUUAUGACCUGAAGUCUUUUAGUGCUACCUCUCUUUAUGAUACUGUAAACAAAAUUAACAAAGAACAUUUUAUAAAGAUUUUUAAGUGCAGAAAGCAAUGAGAGAAUACAAGACUAGUUUGUCUUCUGGUAAAAGAUUUAACAAGUAGCUCCUAGAAGCCAAUGAAUCACUCACAGUUUCAGUGCAGUAAUUUAAGAGCAGUCCUAACUAAAGGAACUCAGACCAACAAAGCUGCAAGAGAACAACCUUCUGUAGGAGAACUGCUAACAAGCACGAGUAAGGUAAAAUCCCUGUGUUACCAUUUUGUGCCUUCUGCUACAGCCUCAGAAAUUCUUCCUGUAAAACAUUAAAAUCGUAUACAAACUGUGUGUGUAAAAAAAAAAGUGUGUGUAUAUAUAGAGUUAAAAAUAUGAGGAAAAUUUAGUUGGAAAACUCAGAUGCUGGAAAAAAAGCUUCUGCUACUGUGGAAAUUGUUAUGCACUUUAAUUUGUAAUGAGCAAGUUGUGGAUAUAAACAGUGUGUAGCCACAAAAAAAAAAACCAUGAAAAGAAAUUUAGGUCAUAAAACCUUGAUGUAAACUCAUCAAGAGGUGAAUAUUGGCAGAUUUUACUCUGCUUACUUUAUAUUUUUACUCUACUGGGGACAGUGUAAACUGUGACACUGAUUCACAAUAUUCUUGGCAGGAUCUGUUAAUACACAGGUGAAACCUUAUGUUUUGGUUUGCUAUGAAGUUCAGUUUUGUAAUAGUAUGGACAUUAACCAAUCCACUUCUGCCUGGAUGACCAACUAUAUACUUAAAGCUUGAAUAAAUGAAAUACCUUUUCUUUUCAUAGACAGACAUCUGGGAAGCUGCCAGCUCCAUGCACGAAGAAGGAAAUGGGAAAGACAGAGAAGGGUGCUGGUAUUGACAUUUAAGGAUGCUGUCAAGUCAAUGGAGUUCUCUUGUAGUGGUUGCUUCAGUGAACAUUCAACGCUGUCGGCCUUCACACCGAAGAUAGAAACCUAACCAGCACAUGAGGUUUCUCCCCUACUCUGCCAUGCUUUACAAAAAAGGUCACAAUCAACAUUCAUUGCUGUCGGUGGGUUUAACUAUGUGGACAAGCUCACUGAACAAUGAAUGCAACUGUGGCCCCACAUUUUACAGGUGCAAUUGGGAGGAACAUCAGCUCUGAAAGGAGUAGUGAGAUGCAGGCAUUUCUUAUAGGUUACAUGUUUCCAGUCAAAAAAUAGAUGAGGAUACUCUAUUUUCACUUGUUUAUUUUUAAGUGUAUUUAACUAUGUUGACUAAAAAAAAAUAAUAAUCACUGCACAUUUCUGGAAUAUCACCCCCACAGGGUUUGGCAUCAUUGAAAUUAAACUCAUUCUUGUUCAGUACGUAUGUGGAAACGAGUAAUAAUAUAGAGAAUUGUGUAUGUAUUCCUCAGGACUGAGCAUAAGAGGAAAGGGUAUUUAAAUCUUAUCUUAACUAGGUAUUAUGGAAUAGUUUACAGAAAUCUAUAAUUGUCAAGACAAAAACAGAAAUAGGAACCAGAAUUCAGAGGGAUGGACAAAAUAUAUCAAAUAAAGAAUUCAGUAGUUUUACGUGACAGUGAUCUUACGCACCUAAAUAAAUGGUAUCAGACAGUAGGCAUUACUACAUUUGCUUUUUCUAAUGGUCAGAUUACAGAAAUAGAUGUAUACCUGGUAAUUAACAUUAGUUAAACUGCAAAAUUGCUCUAAACUUUGGGUACUUGUGUCACACUCAGUAUUGCUAUCACUAAUGAAAAAAUAAAAGUAUAAUUAAAGCUCA